rnacentral:lncRNA from 1 species
AGAGUCUUGCUUUGUCACCCAGGCUGGAGUGUAGUGACGUGAUCUUGGCUCACUGCAACCUUCGCCUCCCGGGUUCAAGCAAUUCUUCUGCCUCAGCCUCCCGACAAGCUGGGACUAAAGGCGUGCACCACUAUGCCCUGCUAAUUUUUGUGUUUUUAGGAGAGACGGGGUUUCACCAUUUUGGCCAGGCUGGUGUCAAAUUCUUGACCUUGUGAUCUAUCCAUCUCAGCCUCCCAAAGUGCUGGGAUUACAGGCGUGAGCCACCGGGCCUGGCCAGCUUUCUCUUUCCAGAAGCUUUAUGGUUUCAGCUCUUACAUUUAAUUCUUUAAUCCAUUUUGAAUUAAUGUUUUUGUAUGGUGUAUAAUAAAAGUCCAAUUUUAUUCUUUUGCAUGGGGAUAUCCAGUUUUCCUAAUGCUGUUCCUUGAAAAGACUAUUCUUUCCCCAGUGUGUAUUUUUGACACCCUGUGGAAGAUCAGAUGACUGUAGGGGAAUAGAUUGAUUUCUGGGCUUUCUAUUCUGUUCCAUUUGGUUGAUGUAUCUGUUUUGAUGCCAGAACCUUACACUUCUGAUUACUGUAACUUAAUAAUAUAUUUUGAAACUGGAAAAAUACAAUGCCUCUAGCUUUGUUCUUGCUCAAGAUUUCUUUGGCUAGUCAGGAAAAUUUUGUGGUUCCAUAUGGACUUCCGGAUUUUUUUUAUUUAGGUGAAAAAUGUCAUUGGAAUUUUAAUGGGAAUUGCAUUGAAUUUGUAAAUUGCUUUGGUUGUAUGAACAUUUUAGCAAUAAUUCUUCCAAUUUAUGAACAUAGCAUGUCUUUCCACUUAUUUGUGUCUGCUUUACUUUUUUAUCAGCAUUUUAGAAUUUUCAGUGGGUAUGUCUUUACCCCCUUGGUUAAGUUUAUUCCUAAGUAUUUACAAAAUUUUUGACACUAUUAUAAAUGAGAUUUUCUUGAUUUCCUUAUCAGAUAAUUUGUUAGUAUAUGGAAAUAUCACUGAUUUUGGUAUGUUGAUUUUGCUGAAUUCAUUUUUAACAGUUUUUUUUUUUUCGAGUUUUUAGGGUUUUUGAUGUAUGAGAUCAUGUCAUCUGCAAACAGCAAGUUCUACUUCUCGAUUUCUGAUUUGGAUGGCUUUAUUUGUUUACUUUUGGUUUCAGGUUAGUGCAGAAAUGUGUUGGAAAGUGUUACUCC